UGCGUAGGCAGCAAGCGUUGUUCGGAGUUACUGGGCGUAAAGGGCGCGUAGGCGGCGAUCCUAGUCAGAUGUGAAAGUCCUGGGCUUAACCUGGGGACUGCAUUUGAUACUGGAUUGCUUGAAUUCGGGAGAGGAUAGCGGAAUUCCCAGUGUAGAGGUGAAAUUCGUAGAUAUUGGGAAGAACACCGGUGGCGAAGGCGGCUAUCUGGACCGACAUUGACGCUGAGGCGCGAAAAGCGUGGGGAGCAAACAGG
rnacentral:rRNA from 1 species